rnacentral:miRNA from 6 species
UGCCUGGCUCCCUGGAUGCCA